CUGGAGUAAACCUCCAGUACCGUAUACUGAAUCAAAUAGGUAUACGGAGGGAACCGCCUGAACUGAAACAUCUAAGUAGGGCGAGGAAGAGACAUCAACUGAGAUUCCGUAAGUAGUGGCGAGCGAACGCGGAAGAGGCCAAACCGAGGGUAGAAAUACCUUCGGGGUUCGGACUGCUUUAAGGACUGCGAUUGUUAACCGAAGGGCAUGGGAAGGCCCACCGAAGAGUGUGAGAGUCACGUAGGUGAAAACGAAAGCAGCUGCGCAGUAUCCAGAGUACGGCCAGACACGUGAAACCUGGUCGGAACACGGGGGGACCACCCUCCAAGCCUAAAUACUACCCAGUGACCGAUAGCGUAUAGUACUGUGAAGGAAAGGUGAAAAGAACCCCGGGAGGGGAGUGAAAUAGAACCUGAAACCCUGUGCCUACAAGCACAUAGAGCACGUCAAAGUGUGAUAUGGUACUUUUUGUAGAACGGUCCGGCGAGCGACUGUAUGCAGCGAGGUUAAGUUGUUAAGCAAUGGAGCCGAAGCGAGAGCGAGUCUGAAUAGGGCGUUUAGUUGCAUGCAGUGGGCCCGAAACCGGGUGACCUAUCCAUGGUCAGGUUGAAGUGGAGGUAAAACUCCAUGGAGGACCGAACCGACCUCCGUUGAAAAGGCGGCGGAUGAACUGUGGAUAGCGGAGAAAUUCCAAUCGAACCCGGAGAUAGCUGGUUCUCCCCGAAAUAGUUUUAGGACUAGCCUCAUGUUAGAUUUCCGGAGGUAAAGCACUGAAUAGCCUAGGGCCCGAGAGGGUACCGAAGCUUAUCAAACUAAGAAUGCCGGAAAAUUGAUGCAUGGGAGUCAGACUGUGUGAGAUAAGUCUCACAGUCAAAAGGGAAACAGCCCAGAUCUACAGCUAAGGUCCCAAAGCAGGUUUAAGUGGAAAAGGAUGUGAAGUUGCUAAGACAACCAGGAUGUUGGCUUAGAAGCAGCCACUCAUUCAAAGAGUGCGUAAUAGCUCACUGGUCGAGUGACUUUGCGCCGAAAAUUCAACGGGGCUAAAACCUGCACCGAAGCUUAGGCAA
rnacentral:rRNA from 1 species